rnacentral:rRNA from 1 species
AGUUUGAUCAUGGCUCAGGACGAACGCUGGCGGCGUGCUUAACACAUGCAAGUCGAACGAUGAAGCCCUUCGGGGUGGAUUAGUGGCGAACGGGUGAGUAACACGUGGGCAAUCUGCCCUUCACUCUGGGACAAGCCCUGGAAACGGGGUCUAAUACCGGAUAAUACUCCUGCCUGCAUGGGUGGGGGUUAAAAGCUCCGGCGGUGAAGGAUGAGCCCGCGGCCUAUCAGCUUGUUGGUGGGGUAAUGGCCCACCAAGGCGACGACGGGUAGCCGGCCUGAGAGGGCGACCGGCCACACUGGGACUGAGACACGGCCCAGACUCCUACGGGAGGCAGCAGUGGGGAAUAUUGCACAAUGGGCGAAAGCCUGAUGCAGCGACGCCGCGUGAGGGAUGACGGCCUUCGGGUUGUAAACCUCUUUCAGCAG